GGAUUUCAUGCCAUAAUAGGGUAUUAAGCCCAGAUUAAGCUAAGGGGACCUUGUACUCAUGCAAGGGAGUCCCUAAUACACAUAAAUGGUGAGUUAAUUAAUAGAAAAAGAAAAAAAGAAAGAAAAGAAAAGAUUUAGGGAACGGGGGAGUUGAAUCAAUUAAAGUCCCCUAUAUUAUAAUUGGCAUGUAGAUUAUAGCCCUUGAUACAAGACUAAAUGUAUUGUAAAUGCAUGUCACAGUUGGGCAAGAAGCUAGGGAACAAGAGGAAGAAGUUCCCCACUGCCUGCUGUAGAUUUUUGGAGGCGUAUCAGGGCUGUGCCGGAUUGACAGGUCAGUGGGAGCUUGUACUUUGUACCAUGAGCAUAUUCAUUAUUCAUUUUCAUGAAUGUUGCCAAGUGUGACUUGAUUCCACCUGAGCUUAUUGAUUAAUUGUUGUAGUAGAUUCCUCUAUAAU
rnacentral:lncRNA from 1 species